UCGAGAAUCUUCGGCAAUGGGCGCAAGCCUGACCGAGCGACGCCGCGUGCGGGAUGAAGGCCUUCGGGUUGUAAACCGCUGUCGUAGGGGAGGAAGCGACCGUGAAGAACGGAAGUUGACCGAUCCUAGGAGGAAGGGCCGGCUAAUCUCGUGCCAGCAGCCGCGGUAAUACGAGAGGCCCAAACGUUAUUCGGAAUUACUGGGCUUAAAGAGUUCGUAGGCGGCGCGGAAAGUAGGGUGUGAAAGCCCUCGGCUCAACCGAGGAAUUGCGCUCUAAACUGCCGUGCUUGAGGAACCUAGAGGUGAGCAGAACUGAUGGUGGAGCGGUGAAAUGCGUUGAUAUCAUCAGGAAUACCGGAGGCGAAGGCGGCUCACUGGGGGUUUUCUGACGCUGAGGAACGAAAGCCAGGGGAGCGAACGGGAUUAGAUACCCCUGUAGUCC
rnacentral:rRNA from 1 species